GAACCUUACCUGGGUUUGAACUUCAGUGGCAAGGCUCAGAGAUGAGUCCCUCCCUUCGGGGAUCGCUGGAGAGGUGCUGCAUGGCUGUCGUCAGCUCGUGUCGUGAGAUGUUGGGUUAAGUCCCGCAACGAGCGCAACCCUUGUCCAUAGUUACUAACGGGUCAUGCCGAGAACUCUAUGGAGACUGCCGGUGAUAAACCGGAGGAAGGUGGGGAUGACGUCAAGUCCUCAUGGCCUUUAUGUCCAGGGCUACACACGUGCUACAAUGGACGGCACAAAGAGUCGCAAAACCGCGAGGUUGAGCUAAUCUCAAAAGACCGUUCUCAGUUCGGAUUGCAGUCUGCAACACGACUGCAUGAAGCUGGAAUCGCUAGUAAUCGCGGAUCAGCACGCCGCGGUGAAUACGUUCCCGGGCCUUGUCACACCGA
rnacentral:rRNA from 1 species